rnacentral:rRNA from 1 species
GACGAACGCUGGCGGCGUGCUUAACACAUGCAAGUCGAGCGGAAAGGCCACUUCGGUGGUACUCGAGCGGCGAACGGGUGAGUAACACGUGAGUAAUCUGCCCUUGGCUUUGGGAUAGCCACCGGAAACGGUGAUUAAUACCGGAUACGACCACUUCUCGCAUGGGAUGGUGGUGGAAAGUUUUUCGGCCAGGGAUGUGCUCGCGGCCUGUCAGCUUGAUGGGGAGGUAAUGGCUCACCAUGGCUUCGACGGGUAUCCGGCCUGAGAGGGGGGCCGGUGACCCUGGGACUGAGAAACGGAUACGAGGCAUACGGGAGGCAGCAGUGGCGAACAUUGGACAAUGGGCGGAAGCCUGAUCCAGCAAAGCCGCGUGAGGGAUAACGGCCUUCGGUUUGUAAUCCUCUAUCGGUGGGAACGAAACGCAAGUGACGGUACCCACUAUAGAAGCACCGGCCAACUACGUGCCAGCAGCCGCCGUAAUGC